AGCGUUACUGGAUGGUUACGGCGACAGAUUAGAAUCAGCACAGAGACGAAAUUGAAUCUGUUCCUCUUUGAGGGCGCAGGUUCGAAUCCUGCUGGCGUCG